rnacentral:rRNA from 1 species
AUUGAACGCUGGCGGCAUGCCUUACACAUGCAAGUCGAACGGCAGCAUGAUCUAGCUUGCUAGAUUGAUGGCGAGUGGCGAACGGGUGAGUAAUACAUCGGAACGUGCCCUGUAGUGGGGGAUAACUAGUCGAAAGAUUAGCUAAUACCGCAUACGACCUGAGGGUGAAAGUGGGGGACCGCAAGGCCUCAUGCUAUAGGAGCGGCCGAUGUCUGAUUUGCUAGUUGGGGAGGUAAAGGCUCACCAAGGCGACGAUCAGUAGCUGGUCUGAGAGGACGAUCAGCCACACUGGGACUGAGCCACGGCCCAGACUCCUACGGGAGGCAGCAGUGGGGAAUUUUGGACAAUGGGCGAAAGCCUGAUCCAGCAAUGCCGCGUGUGUGAAGAAGGCCUUCGGGUUGUAAAGCACUUUUGUCCGGAAAGAAAUGGCUCUGGUUAAUACCUGGGGUCGAUGACGGUACCGGAAGAAUAAGGACCGGCUAACUACGUG